UACCAGCACCCCGAGUGGUCGGGACGUUUAUUGGGCCUAAAGCAUCCGUAGCCGGUUCUACAAGUCUUCCGUUAAAUCCACCUGCUUAACAGAUGGGCUGCGGAAGAUACUAUAGAGCUAGGAGGCGGGAGAGGCAAGCGGUACUCGAUGGGUGGGGGUAAAAUCCGUUGAUCCAUUGAAGACCACCAGUGGCGAAGGCGGCUUGCCAGAACGCGCUCGACGGUGAGGGAUGAAAGCUGGGGGAGCAAACCGG
rnacentral:rRNA from 1 species